CAAAUCAGUGUUGACUAUUGUGGUAUAUGAAUCAAUACAAUGAGUACGUGUCUGAAACUCUGAGGUCCAG
rnacentral:snoRNA from 1 species